rnacentral:rRNA from 1 species
UACGUAGGGUGCGAGCGUUAAUCGGAAUUACUGGGCGUAAAGCGUGCGCAGGCGGUUUUGUAGGCCAGAUGUGAAAGCCCCGGGCUUAACCUGGGAAUGGCAUUUGGGACUGCAAGGCUUGAGUGCGGCAGAGGAGACUGGAAUUCCUGGUGUAGCAGUGAAAUGCGUAGAUAUCAGGAGGAAUACCGAUGGCGAAGGCAGGUCUCUGGGCUGACACUGACGCUCAUGCACGAAAGCGUGGGGAGCAAACAGG